UACAGAGGGUGCAAGCGUUAAUCGGAAUUCCUGGGCGUAAAGCGAGCGUAGUCGGUUAUUUAAGUCGGAUGUGAAAUCCCCGGGCUCAACCUGGGAAUUGCAUUCGAUACUGGAUAGCUAGAGUUCGGCAGAGGGAAGCGGAAUUUCUGGUGUAGCGGUGAAAUGCGUAGAUAUCAGAAGGAACAUCAGUGGCGAAAGCGGCUUCCUGGACCAGAACUGACGAUCAGGCUCGAAAGCGUGGGGAGCAAACAGG
rnacentral:rRNA from 1 species